GACGAACGCUGGCGGCGUGCCUAAUACAUGCAAGUCGAGCGAAGUUUUUCUGGUGCUUGCACCGGAAAAACUUAGCGGCGAACGGGUGAGUAACACGUAAAGAACCUGCCUCAUAGGCUGGGACAACUAUUGGAAACGAUAGCUAAUACCGGAUAACAGCAUUAACUGCAUGGUUGAUGUUUGAAAGUUGGUUUUGCUGACACUAUGAGAUGGCUUUGCGGUGCAUUAGCUAGUUGGUGGGGUAAAGGCCUACCAAGGCGACGAUGCAUAGCCGACCUGAGAGGGUGAUCGGCCACACUGGGACUGAGACACGGCCCAGACUCCUACGGGAGGCAGCAGUAGGGAAUCUUCCGCAAUGGGCGAAAGCCUGACGGAGCAACGCCGCGUGAGUGAAGAAGGAUUUCGGUUCGUAAAGCUCUGUUGUUAGGGAAGAAUGAUUGUGUAGUAACUAUACAUAGUAGAGACGGUACCUAACCAGAAAGCCACGGCUAACUACGUGCCAGCAGCCGCGGUAAUACGUAGGUGGCAAGCGUUGUCCGGAAUUAUUGGGCGUAAAGCGCGCGCAGGUGGUUUAAUAAGUCUGAUGCGAAAGCCCACGGCUCAACCGUGGAGGGUCAUUGGAAACUGUUAAACUUGAGUGCAGGAGAGAAAAGUGGAAUUCCUAGUGUAGCGGUGAAAUGCGUAGAGAUUAGGAGGAACACCAGUGGCGAAGGCGGCUUUUUGGCCUGUAACUGACACUGAGGCGCGAAAGCGUGGGGAGCAAACAGG
rnacentral:rRNA from 1 species